rnacentral:tRNA from 1 species
GCCUGGGGGGCUCAGUCGGUGGAGCGUCUGACUUUGGCUCAGGUCACGAUCUCACGGUCUGUGGGUUCGAGCCCCCUGUCAGGCU